UACGUAGGGCGCGAGCGUUGUCCGGAUUUAUUGGGCGUAAAGAGCUCGUAGGCGGUCUGUCACGUCGGCUGUGAAAACCCGAGGCUCAACCUCGGGCCUGCAGUCGAUACGGGCAGACUAGAGUUCGGUAGGGGAGACUGGAAUUCCUGGUGUAGCGGUGAAAUGCGCAGAUAUCAGGAGGAACACCGGUGGCGAAGGCGGUUCUCUGGGCAUUACCUGACGCUGAGGAGCGAAAGCGUGGGGAGCGAACGGA
rnacentral:rRNA from 1 species